rnacentral:rRNA from 1 species
AAACUGAGGAUAAUACUGGAUAGGCAAUUAUUCCUGGAAUGGAUUUUUGUUUAAAUGUUUUUUCGCCUAAGGAUGGGUCUGCGGCCGAUUAGGUAGUUGGUUAGGUAACGGCUUACCAAGCCAUUGAUCGGUACGGGUUGUGAGAGCAAGAGCCCGGAGAUGGAACCUGAGACAAGGUUCCAGGCCCUACGGGGUGCAGCAGGCGCGAAACCUCCGCAAUGUGAGAAAUCGCGACGGGGGGAUCCCAAGUGCCAUUCUUAACGGGAUGGCUUUUCAUUAGUGUAAAGAGCUUUUGGAAUAAGGGCUGGGCAAGACCGGUGCCAGCCGCCGCGGUAACACCGGCAGCUCUAGUGGUAGCAGUUUUUAUUGGGCCUAAAGCGUCCGUAGCCGGUUUAAUAAGUCUCUGGUGAAAUCCUGUAGCUUAACUGUGGGAAUUGCUGGAGAUACUAUUAGACUUGAGACCGGGAGAGGUUAGAGGUACUCCCAGGGUAGAGGUGAAAUUCUGUAAUCCUGNGAGGACCGCCUGU